AUACUUACCUGGCAGGGGAGAUACCAUGAUCACGCAGGUGGUUUUCCCAGGGCGAGGCUUAUCCAUUUCACUCCAGAUGUGCUGACCCCUGCGAUUUCCCCAAAUGCAGGAAACUCGACUGCAUAAUUUGUAGUGGUGGGGGACUGAGUUCGCACUCUCCCCUG
rnacentral:snRNA from 1 species